rnacentral:rRNA from 1 species
AUGGCUGGUAGAAUCAAUAUCUUUGCCCCAAGCUUGUCCCCCAAUACCUCUAGAUUUUGGAAAGGCAUUAAAACAACCAUCCAGGCACUAAAGUUUUGCUAUAGAUGGAAAAUUGGUUCAGGCACUAAAGUCAGAUUCUGGGAGUAUACCUGGUUUGGCACCUCCCCUCUGGCUGUCCAGUUCUGGCCUAUUUACUCCAUUUGCAAUCAACAAACUAAGAGUGUUAGUGAGGUUUGGGAUGGGCUUCAGCUCAAGAUGACUUUUAGGAGGAAUUUUGAUGAAAUACUUAUGGAGCAAUAUCAUCAGUUGGUUGAGGUUGCUGGGAGUGUGGUUCUCACCGAUGAUACAGAUGCUUUAAUCUGGCAACUUGAUAAUAAAGGAAUUUAUUCCACUAGCUCCCUCUAUCAUAUAAUCAACUUUAGGGGGGUGCAACCUAUUUAUAUUCCAUCUGUUUGGAAGCUUAGAACCCCCCCCCUAAGAUUCAUGUUUUUCUCUGGCUCUUCUCUAAUAAUAAGCUGA